rnacentral:rRNA from 1 species
AUUGAACGCUGGCGGCAGGCCUAACACAUGCAAGUCGAACGAGUGGCGGACGGGUGAGUAAUGUCUGGGAAACUGCCUGAUGGAGGGGGAUAACUACUGGAAACGGUAGCUAAUACCGCAUACCAUCAGAUGUGCCCAGAUGGGAUUCGCUUGUUGGUGGGGUAACGGCCCACAAAGGCGACGAUCCCUAGCUGGUCUGAGAGGAUGACCGGCCAGACGGGACCUGGACCACGGGCCCGACUCCGACGGGAGGCCGCAGUGGGGAAUAUUGCACAAUGGGCGCAAGCCUGAUGCAGCCAUGCGGCGUGUAUGAAGAAGGCCUUCGGGUUGUAAAGUACUUUCAGCGGGGAGGCGUUACCCGCAGAAGAAGCACCGGCUAACUCCGUGCCAGCAGCCGCGGUAAUUC